UCUCUCCUUCAACCAAACCUUCCAAGGUUAUCUUUCCCAUUGUUCAACUCAAAUCACUUAUAUCCAAACACCUUGAGAUUAUUUAUCUUAGGUUUCUUUUUGUUCAACAACUCGUAUGGAGUCUUCUCAAGUAUGGAUCUAAUGAGACACUGGCUGACUAGAUAGCAGGUCCUAGAUAGAGUAUGUCUCAACUUGAUUGACUCGGGCGAUUGUUGGAGCUUCCAAUGUAGUAGUUGGAUAUUUAUGCGUCUGAAGGUCCUAGCUCGAGUGCGCCUCAACUUGAUUGACUUGGGCGAUUGUUGGAGCUUCCAAGGUAGCAGUUGGACAUUUAGGUGUCCAAAGUUCACCUUGGACAUUUAUGUGUCCAAAUUUCACCUCUAUCUUUCCAUAAUAGUUAUGUCUUUAUUAUUGUUCGGAGACAAUUAUUAUUCCUUUGUGGUUAUAUUUCUGAUAUAUUUGACUCUU